CAUCGUAAUAAUUUUUUUAUAAACAAAUAAUUUACCGUUUUCUCCUUAAUUCGCGUUUCAAAGAAAAUGUUGAAGUUAUUAAAACCGUGCGACAUUUAUGAUAAUUUUAAAUGUGGCGAAAUAUUUUGCAAAACCCCAACCGUUUACAACGUUACGUGCAGUUUGUGCGGCAGUAAAAUGCAUUUGGAACAAUUUGCUAGUCACUUUCAGGUGCAACAUUUAACACUGGCAGAGGAGGAACUUAAUGUGGAAGAAUUGGAAAGGAAGCGUCAAGCGAAAUUAGCGAAAGAUGAUGGAUGGUUAGAUAAUAUGCCAAGUAAAGAGGUUGAUCCCAUUGGUGACCCGAUUAAAGAAGAGCAAUUGCUUGACGAAGAAGAGUUCGCAGAUGAAGACCAACAAAUUGAAGCAGAAUCAUUGAAAAGACUAGACAUUAAUGAAGGGAAUGGAUUUAUAUUGAAAAUCGAAGUUAUAGAAAGUGUAUCACAACAAAAUGAACAAAAUUUAGAAAAAAAUUCGGAAGAUCUCCUUCUAAAAAUUAAUAAUACCAAAGAUAAUGUAAAAAUUGCAGAUGAACGAGAAAAAGAUGAAAGGCGAAAUGAAAUUUCGGAAGCUGAACAGGACGACAACUUUGAUUUGACAUUUCCAUGCGAUAUAUGCAAUCGUUCAUAUAGCUCUAAAUGUAGCUUGCAGAAGCACAAGUACACUAUUCACAAUCCAAAUAAAAUGCAAAAAAGAACAAGCAAAGAACCUAAAAUCGAACACAAAUGUGAUGAAUGCCAAGAAAUAUUUCGUUCGGCUCGUGAUUUGCGUGGCCAUAAGUGGAAGCAUACAGGAAUAUUUUGCGAUAUAUGUGGUAAACCAUUUACUCAGACUGGUAAUAUGAUGCGUCAUAAAAUACGUCAUACUGGCAUAAAAGCCCAUAAGUGUCAAGAAUGUGAUCGCAGCUUUUUCACCGAUAAAGAGUUAAAGUCUCAUAUGAUAUCUCAUACCGGCGUAAUGCCAGUUAUAUGUGAAAUAUGUGGACGACGUUGUCGCGAUCGUGGUGUCCUUACGGCCCAUAUGCGUCGGCAUACCGGUGAACGUCCCGCCAAAUGUGAGGUAUGCGGUAAAAGUUUCUAUUCAUUUCAUGAUCUAAACGUUCAUGCAGUUACGCAUACAAGUGAAAGACCUUUUAAAUGUGAUAUAUGCGGCUCGACAUUUCAACGUAAGAAAGCCUUGAGAGUACACAAAUUAUUGCAUACCAAAGAUCGUAAACACAUAUGCAGAGUAUGCGGUAAGGGUUUUGCUCAUUCGGGCGGUCUUAACUCUCAUAUGCGCACCCAUGACGCAGCAUUAGAAAAACAAAUAUUUGAAAUACAACCUGUGAUACCCAUAGUCAUUGAAAAUCGUAAAAAUGACAAUGAACAAUUUAAUUAAUAAGGAAACCAGCUAAGAGAUGCAUACAUUAAAACAAGAUCAAAUGAAAAUUCUUCGGUUGACAUAUGUUAGCUGCCAAGUUGCGACAAUUUUUCAGAAAUUUUGGGGAACGCUGGAGCUACAAUAAUAAUACCGUAAGACGAAUCAAUGCUAUAAGACAGAAAUUACAUAUGGCAUAACCAACAAGGCGAAUAGGAACUAAUCACGUAAGCAGUUGUCUAUUGGACUCAUUUUGGGCGAAGAAAAAACUAUAUUCACAAUGCAGUACAUUUUAAACAAUUUGAAUAUAAUUUCAUUGAUA